AGUGAACGCUGGCGGUAGGCCUAACACAUGCAAGUCGAACGGCAGCACAGUAAGAGCUUGCUGCUACGGGUGGCGAGUGGCGGACGGGUGAGGAAUACAUCCGUAUCUACUUUUUCGAACGGGCGAACGUGGGGGCAAUUACGCCAUAACCGCUUACGACCUACGGGUGAAAGCAGGGGACCUUCGGCUCUCGCGUGAUCCAAUGAGCCGAUGUCGGAUUAGCUAGUUGGCGGGGUAAAGGCCCACCAAGGCGACGAUCCGUAGCUGGUCUGAGAGGAUGAUCAGCCACACUGGAACUGAGACACGGUCCAGACUCCUACGGGAGGCAGCAGUGGGGAAUAUUGGACAAUGGGCGCAAGCCUGAUCCAGCCAUGCCGCGUGUGUGAAGAAGGCCUUCGGGUUGUAAAGCCCUUUUGGUGGGAAAGAAAAGCAGCAGGUUAAUACCCCGCUGUUCUGACGGUACCCAAAGAAUAAGCACCGGCUAACUUCGUG
rnacentral:rRNA from 1 species